ACUCAAAUGAAUAGACGGGGACCCGCACAAGCAGCGGAGCGUGUGGUUUAAUUCGAUGCAACGCGAAGAACCUUACCAGGGUUUGACAUGCCGACGCACCAGCCAGAGAUGGUUGUGCCCGCAAGGGACGUCGGCACAGGUGCUGCAUGGCUGUCGUCAGCUCGUGCCGUGAGGUGUCUGGUUAAGUCCUCUAACGAGCGCAACCCCUAUGGCUAGUUGAAUCUUUCUAGUCAGACUGCCACCACAAAGUGGAGGAAGGUGGGGAUGACGUCAAGUCAGCACGGCCCUUACAUCCUGGGCGACACACACGCUACAAUGGCCGAGACAAUGGGGCGCCAACCCGCGAGGGGGAGCCAAUCCCAGCAAACUCGGUCUCAGUUCGGAUUGCAGGCUGCAACCCGCCUGCAUGAAGCUGGAGUUGCUAGUAACCGUAGGUCAGCACACUACGGUGAAUACGUUCCCGGGUCUUGUACACACCGCCCGU
rnacentral:rRNA from 1 species